rnacentral:rRNA from 1 species
GAUGAACGCUGGCGGCGUGCCUAAUACAUGCAAGUCGAGCGAACGGACGAGAAGCUUGCUUCUCUGAUGUUAGCGGCGGACGGGUGAGUAACACGUGGAUAACCUACCUAUAAGACUGGGAUAACUUCGGGAAACCGGAGCUAAUACCGGAUAAUAUUUUGAACCGCAUGGUUCAAAAGUGAAAGACGGUCUUGCUGUCACUUAUAGAUGGAUCCGCGCUGCAUUAGCUAGUUGGUGAGGUAACGGCUUACCAAGGCAACGAUGCAUAGCCGACCUGAGAGGGUGAUCGGCCACACUGGAACUGAGACACGGUCCGGACUCCUACGGGAGGCAGCAGUAGGGAAUCUUCCGCAAUGGGCGAAAGCCUGACGGAGCAACGCCGCGUGAGUGAUGAAGGUCUUCGGAUCGUAAAACUCUGUUAUUAGGGAAGAACAUAUGUGUAAGUAACUGUGCACAUCUUGACGGUACCUAAUCAGAAAGCCACGGCUAACUACGUG